CCUACGGGAGGCAGCAGUGAGGAAUAUUGGUCAAUGGACGAGAGUCUGAACCAGCCAAGUCGCGUGAAGGAUGACUGCCCUAUGGAUUGUAAACUUCUUUUAUAUGGGAAUAAAAUGUUCCACGUGUGGGAUUUUGUAUGUACCAUAUGAAUAAGGAUCGGCUAACUCCGUGCCAGCAGCCGCGGUAAUACGGAGGAUCCGAGCGUUAUCCGGAUUUAUUGGGUUUAAAGGGAGCGUAGGUGGAUUGUUAAGUCAGUUGUGAAAGUUUGCGGCUCAACCGUAAAAUUGCAGUUGAAACUGGCAGUCUUGAGUACAGUAGAGGUGGGCGGAAUUCGUGGUGGAGCGGUGAAAUGCUUAGAUAUCACGAAGAACUCCGAUUGCGAAGGCAGUUCACUGGACUGCAACUGACACUGAGGCUCGAAAGUGUGGGUAUCAAACAGGAUUAGAUACCCCUGUAGUC
rnacentral:rRNA from 1 species